UACGUAGGGGGCAAGCGUUAUCCGGAUUUACUGGGUGUAAAGGGAGCGUAGACGGCAGCGCAAGUCUGGAGUGAAAUGCCGGGGCCCAACCCCGGAACUGCUUUGGAAACUGUGCGGCUCGAGUGCGGGAGAGGUAGGCGGAAUUCCUAGUGUAGCGGUGAAAUGCGUAGAUAUCACGCAGAACCCCGAUUGCGAAGGCAGCCUUCCGGCGCCCUACUGACGCUGAGGCACGAAAGUGCGGGGAUCGAACAGG
rnacentral:rRNA from 1 species